CAGUCUUUGUCCCCUUAUCUGAAUCUUGCAAUUGAUGUCCGUCCGUUAUACCAGUUGUCGAUUAUUCAAAAUGAACUAUCCCAAUCAACUGGAGCUGCCAAUUGACUUAUGCCCCUCCGAACUCAUCUCAGCGGUGGUCACUCAUGAAAUUUUCUUUUGCUUAAAAUGGAUAACUUUGUCUUAAGCUAAGACCAAGAAUGGGCCACAAUUUAAAGACAGCAGUCUUUUUUAAGAUGCUGCAGAUGGACUUGGUUGGCCGGAAUUACUUUAGUGACAGUUCAUAGACUUGAGGAGUUUUACAUUGCGUGGUGUCCAGAGUUUCGCAGUUUUGGUUUUGCUUUUUAUGUCUAUGUUCAUGUAUGUGAAAGUUUCAUCCUGUGCAUCAGGCUCAGUCACAAAACGUAAUAUUUCCACUCUCACUGGUAUACACUCCUAUACACUAUCACUAUGCCUUUUCAUGAUAACAAUAAUUUGUGCCUAGCCACCUGGAAUGUUAAUGGUUUGGGAAAGCCCAUCAAAAGGAAUAAGGUAUUUUUUAGUUUAAAGUCAGUUAGGUAUGAUAUUGUUUUUUGUUUUUUUUUACAGGAGUGUCAUAUGUCUGUGAAGGACUCCAAGUGGUUAAGUGGUUACAUCUCCAGUCUAAUCUUGAGUGCACAGCUGAUAGUUCCCCUCUGAAUUUCUGAAGAUUCAAAACAAAUGUCAUGGAGAAAAUGUGCACUGGAAGGAGAUGAAGGAGAUGAGGGAGGCUCAGAAGGCGCCAGAGUGUAUCCUGAUGCAGAUUAAUUUAUUAAAAUAUUUGGAUCCAUCAGUCCAGACACUUAAUCCCCUCGACAUGGGUCACUGGUUGCGUGCGAACAAAAAACAGUUUAAAGGGAUUUCAUAAAGCAGAGCCUAAAAGUGAGCACCACGGUGGGUGACGGACCAAAGGAAAACACCUGGGCAGCAGGUGUCAGAGUG